UGGAAUGACGUGCUUAGCUUGCUUUUCAUGCUUUCGUUUCACGUCUGACUUGAUUUUCAAAUUUGGGUGAGGAGUUUGUCUUUAUUUAUUUUGGUUACUCCAAGGCCAUCCUUUCUGUUCUUUCGAGUUUGCGUCCUUCAUUUUUUGGUUUGUAUGCUCUGUUGUUGGUGAUUUUUCCCUUGAGUUUGGCUAUUUUGCUUUCUUGUUUUCUGUGCUUUGUGUCUUUCUCUGCUUUGAUUUUGCGUUUUUCUUCUCAAGGAUUUUCCUUCCAUUUUUUACUAUUAUUUAUCUUUUCCCAGUUUUGUUUUGUCCUUUUUUUUUCUUCUUUUCGGCUUUCAUUGUUGUUUCUUGAUUCCAUUAUAUAUAUAAAAGGAAAUUUGAUUACUCCCAUUUCAGUUUGGGUAUUUUUAAAAAAUAAUUUUUCCUUUAUUCCAUUAUUUAUUUGUACAGUUGUGUUUUUGUGUUAUAGUGAUAGCCAUAUCUCUCAGUUGUGGUGGAUGAAUGAGUCAUUUGAUGCUUUUUUUGUUUGUUUACUUUCAUCUUUAAUCUGUUGAGAAUAAACUCUUAUGGUUUUUCAUUGGUUGUUUAUUGAUGUGAUCAUGAACGUAAGGACGCUGAAUAUGAAUUACUGAACAGUUUAAAUAGAUGUUAAUUAUUUAUUUUAUUUAUAUUUAUUAUAAGUAAUUCCAUUUGGAUCAGUCCCUUAAAGAUCUAUCUUUUUUAUGGAGAUAUUGAUUUGACAACCUUUGUGGCCUAAACUUUGAGGAGGCUUUAGCCAACGAUGUAUGUUCUGUCCUUCAAAGAGAAUAUCAUAACAGAGCUGCAAAGUUUGUGGUCAAGGAUGUCCAAUUAAUUCAGGCAAAGCAUUUUGAAUUUGAUGUUCCGAAUGAUUUCUUGGUGAUGGGCAAAGACUGGCGAAGCAUUAAAGGAAACAGUUUAGUGCGAAGUAAGAGCACCCAAAAAGUAGUUCAGUGGGAUGAUUAAUUGAAUGAAAAUUCGUAUAGGUGGUAAGAAUUCGUUUUUACUUUAUAUUUGGAAAUUGAUUUUCAUUUUCCCUGUCUAUUUUUUUACGCGUAAUGGAUGACUUAUUUUACAGGCUUUGUUACGCUGGUGCUUUUUGCCUUUUGGUGGUGAGAAGAUUGGUAUAUAAGUAAUGUGCUGUUUAUGUAAAAUAAUUCGAUCUGAUUGUAAUGUUGAAUUGUUCUUUUGAAAAAUUCAAGUUAUACCCAUGUUUGGGUUGGUGCAAUUUUUUUUGCGGUUUUCCUUCUCUGCUUCUAGGUUUUUUUGUCCCCGUGAUUGAUGUAUUGGCAAACUUUAUUUAUUCAUUAUUACUUUUACUACGUUGGGUUUUUCAUGAUCUGACUGUUGUUGAUGAA